rnacentral:rRNA from 1 species
CGUGAGGGAAGACUGCCCUAUGGGUUGUAAACCUCUUUGUCAGGGAGCAACAACAUCUACGAGUAGGUGUUACGAGAGUACCUGAAGAAAAAGCAUCGGCUAACUCCGUGCC